UUGGACUUUAAAUUUGUUCUACCACAUGUAAGCUAUCUCUAGAACUUGUUGUUUAAUUAAAAUGAUAAAUGAAGCUCUAAAAGAUCACUCACAAAAGUCUUGGUUCAAUUAUGCCUAAAAGAUUUGAGUCACCAAAAAACCCAAUCAGAUUUUGUGAUUUUUAGUUUCGGUUGGUCUUCAUUCAUGAUUUUUCUCUUUCUGGUGUGAUUCCCUCUUUUUUCUCUCUUCUCUUCACUAUAGGUGUCAUUUUCUCGACCACCCUUAUCCUUUUUCUUCCUUUUCUUUUUUCUUCUUCUUUUUUAUUCUUUUCUUUUUCUCAUUCUUCUUUCUUCUUCUCUGGCAGACCUUAGGUUGAACAAG
rnacentral:lncRNA from 1 species